UGGCUUAAGGUCAGCAACAGGCUCAUUAGGU
rnacentral:piRNA from 1 species